rnacentral:rRNA from 1 species
AGAGUUUGAUCCUGGCUCAGAAUCAACGCUGGCGGCGCGCCUAACACAUGCAAGUCGAACGAGAAAGUGGAGCAAUCCAUGAGUAAAGUGGCGUACGGGUGAGUAACACGUGGGUGAUCUACCUCUUAGUGAGGAAUAACCCUGGGAAACCGGGGCUAAUACCGCAUAAGCCUUAGCAGGGAAAGUCGAAAGACGCUGAGAGAGGAGCCCGCGGCCGAUUAGCUAGUUGGUGAGGUAAGAGCCCACCAAGGCAGAGAUCGGUAGCCGGCCUGAGAGGGCACACGGCCACACUGGCACUGAAACACGGGCCAGACUCCUACGGGAGGCAGCAGUGGGGAAUCUUGCACAAUGGGGGAAACCCUGAUGCAGCGACGCCGCGUGAGCG